GCCUGGGUGACUCAGUCGGUUGAGUGUCCGACUUCGGCUCAGGUCAUGAUCUCGCAGUUCGUGAGUUCAAGCCCCACAUCGGGCU
rnacentral:tRNA from 1 species